UACGUAGGGUGCGAGCGUUAAUCGGAAUUACUGGGCGUAAAGCGUGCGCAGGCGGUUCGUUAUGUCCGAUGUGAAAGCCCCGAGCUUAACUUGGGAAUGGCAUUGGAAACUGGCGGGCUGGAGUGCGGCAGAGGGGGGUGGAAUUCCGACGUGUAGCAGUGAAAUGGCGUAGAGAUGUGGAGGAACACCGAUGGCGAAGGCAGCCCCCUGGGCCGACACUGACGCUCAGGCACGAAAGCGUGGGGAGCAAACAGG
rnacentral:rRNA from 1 species